rnacentral:lncRNA from 10 species
AGAAAAGCAGAAUACUUGAGAUGAAAGUUGGCAUACAAAUAGGAUACUAUCGCCAGUAGUUAUAUUACAAACAUUAUCGGCCUUUCUAGUGUGAAUGAACAUUAGACACAUUAUUGUCAUUCCUAGUUUAAAGUUAAGGUUGCGUGGUUGGAUUUUUCCACUAUCUUUUUCUAAUUUUUCUACCAUUUGGAGACCGUAGGCAUUUGGGCCUGUCACCCCUUGGAUGGGUUCCUAGUUUGUUUACAUUUUCCUGAACCCUCCUGAGCGCCCGUUCUUGGUCUAAUCCCCAGUCGUGAUGAUUCCACACUUCCUCAGCCGCAUGUUGUCUUGCCUCAUUCAUGAGCUGGUCAGCGUUUCGUCUCUUUAACUGACAUGUUCCCCAGUGCUGUUUGAACUGUUGAGUUUCCGUUGCUGGCUGAGUGCGUUUUGUCCUUCACGUAACCUUCGCUGGUAAAAAUAAGCCCAUGUGAUGUCCACCAGUGGAUGAAUGCUGGACCGAGAGCCCUAGCUUCUGGAUCCAGGUCUAGGCCCUUCAUCUGCUGCUCUGUGGCCCAGGGCAGGUUUGCUUGACCUCUGCCUCAGUUCUCGACUCUAAAGGACAUACUGACCUACCUCACAGGGGUGUUGUGAGGAUUAAUAAAUGUUGGUACUCUGCUUUGGAAAUGUGAAAA